GGAGAGGUGCUGGAGUGGUUGAACAGGCCGCUCUCGAAAAGCGGUAGGUCUGAAAGGGCCUCGUGGGUUCGAAUCCCACCCUCUCCGCCA
rnacentral:tRNA from 1 species